GACGAACGCUGGCGGCGUGCUUAACACAUGCAAGUCGAACGAUGAAGCCGGAGCUUGCUCUGGUGAAUUAGUGGCGAACGGGUGAGUAACACGUGAGUAACCUGCCCUUGACUCUGGGAUAACUGCGGGAAACUGUAGCUAAUACCGGAUACGACCCUCGGAGGCAUCUCCUGGGGGUGGAAAGAAUUUCGGUCAAGGAUGGACUCGCGGCCUAUCAGCUAGUUGGUGAGGUAAAGGCUCACCAAGGCGACGACGGGUAGGCGGCCUGAGAGGGGGACCGGCCACACGGGGACUGAGACACGGCCCAGACUCCUACGGGAGGCAGCAGUGGGGAAUAUUGCGCAAUGGGCGCAAGCCUGAUGCAGCAACGCCGCGUGAGGGAUGACGGCCUUCGGGUUGUAAACCUCUUUUAGCAGGGAAGAAGCGAAAGUGACGGUACCUGCAGAAAAAGCACCGGCUAACUACGUGCCAGCCGCCGCCGUAA
rnacentral:rRNA from 1 species